UGUAGGCGCUGGCUUGCCUGCGAUGCAGACACCUCGGUGUUUCAGACACACCGAGUCGAUAUCAUCGCAGGCAAGCCAGCUCCCACA
rnacentral:misc_RNA from 1 species